UAACAAAAUUAUUUCAAGUCAGUAAAAAUACACAAAAACGGGUUUAUGUCAAAUAAAAAAAGUUGAAUUGAUCAAGCAGAUUUUAAGCAGUGUACCAGCUUUUGUGGAAAUAGAUUUGUGCUUGGCAUCAAUAAUAAACUACCGCUACCACAAUGCUUUGCGCGUUGACGUUGCCAGAGCGCAGCAUGUGCUCCUGUGCUUUACUCCAACUAUGGCUCAGUGCUGCUCAGGCUCUUCACGGGAGCGCAUCGUAUUUCACACUGAGACGGUUUACGGUUGGAGCCGAUACGACACCGUCACCAUCACUGCACUGGACCAUCAACUCCGAGAUUAUUCCUGGUCAGAAAUAACCGCCGAUCUAAGCGAUUUACUGGAGCAGACGAAAUUUACGCAUGGAUUUCUUUUACGCAUGAGGAUCAACUGCUGGCAUUUCACCACUGCCCCGCGUGGAGUUAUUGUUAUUAUUGAUAUUAUUGAUACAUUCGAUACAGUCUGGACCUAAUGGCAGCCACUGCAGGAAUUAUCAGCCCGGCCGUGGAUCUUCAUCCUGGAUGUAAGGAAAUACUGUCUGACGCUGGAGGAGCGAUGUCUCCAGUCCUACUUCCCUGUCUCGCUGCUGGACACGCAGCAGGGACUGCGAAAAGUUUGUCGGACAGACGAGCCUCCUGGGGAUAGUUCACGCGUGGUCCAUUGAAUUCCAGCGUUACAGGAGCGCCACAGUCUCGGAGACGAGAUGGAGAGGUUGUUUAUUUUGACGCACGGAAUAUCCUGGAUUAUAUUUUAGAGGAGAUGCUCAGAAGAUGAUCAGCGCUUCGGAUGAUACUGGGACGCAACAUCUCUGUGCAGCAGCCAAGGAAUCCAAACUCUUGGAAUGUACCCAUUUUCCAGGAAUCCUUUGAUGAUCUGGGAUGAGCUCCAAGAACUGGAGCGAUUGUCCAAAUCUGACAUUAGAGCGUUAAACAGAAUGGUACUAAAUCCUGCCAUUGGAUGCGGGACCAGCAUCCCCUGCAGGAGAUGAGGGUUGCUGACAACAUGAGCCCCCCACCCCCUCGCUGACAAUCUUGUGCUCAGGAUCUGCUCCAGAAUCUUGGACCUGAGGAUGAUUUGACAGAAAGUCGACAACGCAGGAUAUUUCGCAGCUCAUCUAUUAGAAACAGAGACGUUUCCCUCGUCUCAGGAAAUGCUCAACAAAAGCCUUAUUGGAUCUACACGUCAUGUGACUGCUUGUAAAGGGCUGGGGAUUAUUAUUUUCUUUAUGCAUCUGCUUUUGAUAUCCAGUGCUCAUUCACCAUGUUUUUUCAUACAGUAGUUGUGACAUUUACUGUGUUAUUUUGGGACGAGUUUCCAGAGCUGGGACUAUAUACGGAAAACAGUCAGUUGUUAUUAUUUUUAUUUAUUUUUUUUCUGUUUCUGCAAAGUGGCCGUGGUUGGGGAAAAAAUGCAGGCAGAAAAUGAAAAAUGUCUGAGGAAACAGAGCUGCGACAGUCAAACAGAAGCUGUUAAUUAAAUGGUGUAGAAGAAUGCAGAAAAACUCUCUCUCUCUCUCUCUCUCUCUCACACACACACACUCACUCUCUACAGACACUGCAUUUUAAUGGCAUACAUUGACACCCGGCGUUUGAUUAAUAAUCCUGUCAGUGUGCUUAUUUGCAUGAUGAUUAAUUGCUCUUUUGCAUUAGUUAAAAUCUGUUUGCCAAAAUUAAAAAGGAGAUACAGCGAGCUGUCUGGACUCUUAUUGAAUCUGUGGAUGAUUAAUAUCAUUAGUGAGAUCAUUUGUAUUUAAAUCUGCCGGUUGUUACUGUUUGUCAUGAAGACAUUAUUACAGUGAUCCCUUGCUAUACCGCGGUUUACUUUUCACGUUUCGCUACUUCACGGAUUUGCAUCGUGCAUUGUGUUCUGCAUUCUGAUUGGCUAAAAAGUCACUCGCUUCUUCUCUACCUGU